rnacentral:rRNA from 1 species
UCGAUUCCCUUAGUAGCGGCGAGCGAAACGGGAAGAGCCCAAACCAACAAGCUUGCUUGUUGGGGUUGUAGGACACUCUAUACGGAGUUACAAAGGACGACAUUAGACGAAUCAUCUGGAAAGAUGAAUCAAAGAAGGUAAUAAUCCUGUAGUCGAAAAUGUUGUCUCUCUUGAGUGGAUCCUGAGUACGACGGAGCACGUGAAAUUCCGUCGGAAUCUGGGAGGACCAUCUCCUAAGGCUAAAUACUCUCUAGUGACCGAUAGUGAACCAGUACCGUGAGGGAAAGGUGAAAAGCACCCCGGAAGGGGAGUGAAAUAGAACCUGAAACCGUGUGCUUACAAGUAGUCAGAGCCCGUUAAUGGGUGAUGGCGUGCCUUUUGUAGAAUGAACCGGCGAGUUACGAUUUGAUGCAAGGUUAAGCAGUAAAUGUGGAGCCGUAGCGAAAGCGAGUCUGAAUAGGGCGUUUAGUAUUUGGUCGUAGACCCGAAACCAGGUGAUCUACCCUUGGUCAGGUUGAAGUUCAGGUAACACUGAAUGGAGGACCGAACCGACUUACGUUGAAAAGUGAGCGGAUGAACUGAGGGUAGCGGAGAAAUUCCAAUCGAACCUGGAGAUAGCUGGUUCUCUCCGAAAUAGCUUUAGGGCUAGCCUCAAGUGAUGAUUAUUGGAGGUAGAGCACUGUUUGGACGAGGGGCCCCUCUCGGGUUACCGAAUUCAGACAAACUCCGAAUGCCAAUUAAUUUAACUUGGGAGUCAGAACAUGGGUGAUAAGGUCCGUGUUCGAAAGGGAAACAGCCCAGACCACCAGCUAAGGUCCCAAAAUAUAUGUUAAGUGGAAAAGGAUGUGGCGUUGCCCAGACAACUAGGAUGUUGGCUUAGAAGCAGCCAUCAUUUAAAGAGUGCGUAAUAGCUCACUAGUCGAGUGACACUGCGCCGAAAAUGUACCGGGGCUAAACAUAUUACCGAAGCUGUGGAUUGUCCUUUGGACAAUGGUAGGAGAGCGUUCUAAGGGCGUUGAAGCAUGAUCGUAAGGACAUGUGGAGCGCUUAGAAGUGAGAAUGCCGGUGUGAGUAGCGAAAGACGGGUGAGAAUCCCGUCCACCGAUUGACUAAGGUUUCCAGAGGAAGGCUCGUCCGCUCUGGGUUAGUCGGGUCCUAAGCUGAGGCCGACAGGCGUAGGCGAUGGAUAACAGGUUGAUAUUCCUGUACCACCUAUAAUCGUUUUAAUCGAUGGGGGGACGCAGUAGGAUAGGCGAAGCGUGCGAUUGGAUUGCACGUCUAAGCAGUAAGGCUGAGUAUUAGGCAAAUCCGGUACUCGUUAAGGCUGAGCUGUGAUGGGGAGAAGACAUUGUGUCUUCGAGUCGUUGAUUUCACACUGCCGAGAAAAGCCUCUAGAUAGAAAAUAGGUGCCCGUACCGCAAACCGACACAGGUAGUCAAGAUGAGAAUUCUAAGGUGAGCGAGCGAACUCUCGUUAAGGAACUCGGCAAAAUGACCCCGUAACUUCGGGAGAAGGGGUGCUCUUUAGGGUUAACGCCCAGAAGAGCCGCAGUGAAUAGGCCCAAGCGACUGUUUAUCAAAAACACAGGUCUCUGCUAAACCGUAAGGUGAUGUAUAGGGGCUGACGCCUGCCCGGUGCUGGAAGGUUAAGAGGAGUGGUUAGCUUCUGCGAAGCUACGAAUCGAAGCCCCAGUAAACGGCGGCCGUAACUAUAACGGUCCUAAGGUAGCGAAAUUCCUUGUCGGGUAAGUUCCGACCCGCACGAAAGGCGUAACGAUUUGGGCAC